CCAGCACCUGCGGUAAUUCCAGCUCCAAUAGCGUAUAUUAAUGUUGUUGCAGUUAAAAAGCUCGUAGUUGGAUUUCUACCUAUUUUGCCCGUUCCGGAUCGUAUUUACUUUUCGGUAAUGGAGCUGAAGUGGGUAUCCUAUCAUGAAGUUGCGGCCUCGUGUCGUCGCUGAGUGGUUCUUUUACUUUGAAAAAAUUAGAGUGUUUAAAGCAGGUUGCGCAUGAAUACAUUAGCAUGGAAUAAUAACAUAGGACUUUGGUCUCUAUUUUGUUGGUUUCUAGGACUAAAGUAAUGAUUGAUAGGGAUAGUUGGGGGUGCUAGUAUUAAGCGGCCAGAGGUGAAAUUCUUAGAUUCGCUCAAGACUAACUUAUGCGAAAGCAUUUAGCAAGGAUGUUUUCAUUAAUCAAGAACGAAAGU
rnacentral:rRNA from 1 species